ACGGCAGCACGGACUUCGGUCUGGUGGCGAGUGGCGAACGGGUGAGUAAUGUAUCGGAACGUGCCUAGUAGCGGGGGAUAACUACGCGAAAGCGUAGCUAAUACCGCAUACGCCCUACGGGGGAAAGCAGGGGAUCGCAAGACCUUGCACUAUUAGAGCGGCCGAUAUCGGAUUAGCUAGUUGGUGGGGUAACGGCUCACCAAGGCGACGAUCCGUAGCUGGUUUGAGAGGACGACCAGCCACACUGGGACUGAGACACGGCCCAGACUCCUACGGGAGGCAGCAGUGGGGAAUUUUGGACAAUGGGGGAAACCCUGAUCCAGCCAUCCCGCGUGUGCGAUGAAGGCCUUCGGGUUGUAAAGCACUUUUGGCAGGAAAGAAACGUCAUGGGNUAAUACCCCGUGAAACUGACGGUACCUGCAGAAUAAGCACCGGCUAACUACGUGCCAGCAGCCGCGGUAAUACGUAGGGUGCAAGCGUUAAUCGGAAUUACUGGGCGUAAAGCGUGCGCAGGCGGUUCGGAAAGAAAGAUGUGAAAUCCCAGAGCUUAACUUUGGAACUGCAUUUUUAACUACCGGGCUAGAGUGUGUCAGAGGGAGGUGGAAUUCCGCGUGUAGCGGUGAA
rnacentral:rRNA from 1 species